AGCGAACGCUGGCGGCAGGCCUAACACAUGCAAGUCGAACGAAGCCUUCGGGCUUAGUGGCGGACGGGUGAGUAACACGUGGGAACGUACCUUUUGGUUCGGAAUAACGCAGAGAAAUUUGCGCUAAUACCGGAUGAGCCCUUCGGGGGAAAGAUUUAUCGCCGAAAGAUCGGCCCGCGUUGGAUUAGGUAGUUGGUGUGGUAAAGGCGCACCAAGCCUACGAUCCAUAGCUGGUCUGAGAGGAUGAUCAGCCACACCGGGACUGAGACACGGCCCAGACUCCUACGGGAGGCAGCAGUGGGGAAUCUUGCGCAAUGGGCGAAAGCCUGACGCAGCCAUGCCGCGUGAAUGAUGAAGGUCUUAGGAUUGUAAAAUUCUUUUACCAGGGACGAUAAUGACGGUACCUGGAGAAAAAGCCCCGGCUAACUUCGUGCCAGCCGCCGCGGUAAUAC
rnacentral:rRNA from 1 species